rnacentral:rRNA from 1 species
CGUGCCUAACGACAUGCAAGUCGAACGAAGCGUCCUGAUCUGAGUCCUUCGGGUGAAGUGAAGGAAGACUUAGUGGCGGACGGGUGAGUAACGCGUGAGCAACCUGCCUUUCAAGGGGGAUAACAGUUGGAAACGACUGCUAAUACCGCAUAACGUACAGAUGUCGCAUGGCAUAUGUACCAAAGCUGAGGCGCUGAGAGAUGGGCUCGCGUCCGAUUAGAUAGUUGGUGGGGUAACGGCCUACCAAGUCGACGAUCGGUAGCCGGACUGAGAGGUUGAACGGCCACAUUGGGACUGAGAUACGGCCCAGACUCCUACGGGAGGCAGCAGUGGGGGAUAUUGCACAAUGGGCGAAAGCCUGAUGCAGCAACGCCGCGUGAGGGAAGACGGUUUUAGGAUUGUAAACCUCUGUCUUUGGUGAAGAAGGAAGUGACGGUAGCCAAGGAGGAAGCCACGGCUAACUACGUGCC